rnacentral:rRNA from 1 species
AACGUAGGAGACAAACGUUAUCCGGAGUUACUGGGCGUAAAGGGCGUGUAGGUGGUUUCGUAAGUCUGGCGUGAAAUUUCUCGGCUUAACCGAGGCAGGUCGUCGGAUACUGCGGAGCUAGAGGACGGUAGAGGCGUGUGGAAUUCCGGGUGUAGUGGUGAAAUGCGUAGAGAUCCGGAGGAACACCAGUGGCGAAGGCGACACGCUGGGCCGUACCUGACACUGAUGCGCGACAGCAUGGGGAG